CGGUGUUCAACUGGCGUGUCCGCGGGACGUCCUGCCGGUGGGCUUAGCCCGCAAGGGCGGCCCAACUUCAAAUCCCAUCGCGGUGCUCUUCACUGAGUGUCGAGGCGGGCCGGCACGUUUACUUUGAACAAAUUAGAGUGCUUAAAGCAGGCUAAAACUUCGCCUGAAUACUGUGUGCAUGGAAUAAUGGAAUAGGACCUCGGUUCUAUUUUGUUGGUUUUCGGAACCCCGAGGUAAUGAUUAAUAGGAACGGAUGGGGGCAUUCGUAUUGCGACGUUAGAGGUGAAAUUCUUGGAUCGUCGCAAGACGGACAGAAGCGAAAGCAUUUGCCAAAAACGCUUUCAUUGAUCAAGAACGAAAGUUAGAGGUUCGAAGGCGAUCAGAUACCGCCCUAGUUCUAACCAUAAACGAUGCCAGCUAGCGAUCCGUCGACGUUCCUCCGAUGACUCGACGGGCAGCUUCCGGGAAACCAAAGCUUUUGGGUUCCGGGGGAAGUAUGGUUGCAAAGCUGAAACUUAAAGGAAUUGACGGAAGGGCACCACCAGGAGUGGAGCCUGCGGCUUAAUUUGACUCAACACGGGAAACCUCACCAGGCCCGGACACCGGAAGGAUUGACAGAUUGAGAGCUCUUUCUUGAUUCGGUGGGUGGUGGUGCAUGGCCGUUCUUAGUUGGUGGAGCGAUUUGUCUGGUUAAUUCCGAUAACGAACGAGACUCUAGCCUGCUAACUAGGCGUAUUUUCGACAUCUCAAAGGUCCGUCGUCCCGGCCCUCGGGUCGUGGGCGUGCGCGAUUUUUACUGUCGGCGUACUAUCAAUUCUUCUUAGAGGGACAGGUGGCUUCUAGCCGCACGAGAUUGAGCAAUAACAGGUCUGUGAUG
rnacentral:rRNA from 1 species